UAUCUCUGUAGAGUCUGCAUAUCAAUAAGCGGAGGAAAAGAAACUAACAAGGAUUCCCUUAGUAACGGCGAGUGAAGCGGGAAGAGCUCAAAUUUGAAAUCUUCAAGGUUCUACCUUGACGAAUUGUAGUUUAAAGAAGUGUUUUCUGUUAGAUGAGUAGCAAAAGUUCCUUGGAAUGGGACAUCAUAGAGGGUGAGAAUCCCGUAUUUGGUUAUUCAUUCUAGCUUUGUGAUACACUUUCAAAGAGUCGGAUUGUUUGGGAAUGCAGUCCAAAAUGGGUGGUAAAUUUCAUCUAAAGCUAAAUAUUGGCGAGAGACCGAUAGCGAACAAGUACCGUGAGGGAAAGAUGAAAAGAACUUUGAAAAGAGAGUUAAACAGUACGUGAAAUUGUCAAAAGGGAAGCGUUUGACACCAGUGUUGUUUUUCCGAAAAUCAAUUACGAAUGGCUUGAUUUUGUGUUGUAUUGACCUUAUCAGCUUUCUGCACUUUUUUCGAGUCUUUCUUAAUGCACUUUUCGGUUAACAAGUCAACAUCAAUUUCUUUUGUUGUAAAAGAGUAUUCGGAAGGCGGCUUUCUUUUCGGAGAAAGUGUUUAUAGCCCUAUACUUCUACAAUCGGAGAGAUUGAGGUCUGCAGCGUAGAUCCUCCGGGGUUAGAUACAUUUGUGCUAAGUUGUAGCUUUUCAUAGACAACUUGUUGACUAUGUUUAGUCAUGCGGCUUACUCGCUUAUGCUAUUUUACCUACGCUUAGGAUGUUGACUGAUAUGUAGUCGUA
rnacentral:rRNA from 1 species